rnacentral:rRNA from 1 species
GACGAACGCUGACGGCGUGCUUAACACAUGCAAGUCGAACGGUGAAGCGCCUUCCUUUUUGGUGGGUGUGGAUGAGUGGCGAACGGGUGAGUAACACGUGAGUAACCUGCCCCCUUCUUCUGGAUAACCGCAUGAAAGUGUGGCUAAUACGGGAUAUUCUGGGUCUGUCGCAUGAUGGGUCUGGGAAAGAUAUUGUUUCGGUGGGGGAUGGGCUCGCGGCCUAUCAGCUUGUUGGUGGGGUGAUGGCCUACCAAGGCGGUGACGGGUAGCCGGCCUGAGAGGGUGGACGGUCACACUGGGACUGAGACACGGCCCAGACUCCUACGGGAGGCAGCAGUGGGGAAUAUUGCACAAUGGGCGCAAGCCUGAUGCAGCGACGCCGCGUGAGGGAUGGAGGCCUGCGGGUUGUGAACCUCUUUCGCCAGUGAAGCAGGCCUGCCUCGUUUGUGGGUGGGUUGACGGUAGCUGGAUAAGAAGCGCCGGCUAACUACGUG